GACGAACGCUGGCGGCGUGCCUAAUACAUGCAAGUCGAACGCUGAAGAGAGGAGCUUGCUCUUCUUGGAUGAGUUGCGAACGGGUGAGUAACGCGUAGGUAACCUGCCUUGUAGCGGGGGAUAACUAUUGGAAACGAUAGCUAAUACCGCAUAACAAUGGAUGACACAUGUCAUUUAUUUGAAAGGGGCAAUUGCUCCACUACAAGAUGGACCUGCGUUGUAUUAGCUAGUAGGUGAGGUAACGGCUCACCUAGGCGACGAUACAUAGCCGACCUGAGAGGGUGAUCGGCCACACUGGGACUGAGACACGGCCCAGACUCCUACGGGAGGCAGCAGUAGGGAAUCUUCGGCAAUGGGGGCAACCCUGACCGAGCAACGCCGCGUGAGUGAAGAAGGUUUUCGGAUCGUAAAGCUCUGUUGUAAGUCAAGAACGAGUGUGAGAGUGGAAAGUUCACACUGUGACGGUAGCUUACCAGAAAGAGACGGCUAACUACGUG
rnacentral:rRNA from 1 species